UCUAGAAAUUUGGGCAAUGGGCGAAAGCCUGACCCAGCGACGCCGCGUGGGGGAUGAAGCUUCUCGGAGUGUAAACCCCUGUUAGGUGGGACGAAAGCCCGUAUACGAACAGUAGGCGGGUUUGACGGUACCACCAGAGGAAGCUCCGGCUAACUCCGUGCCAGCAGCCGCGGUAAUACGGGGGGAGCAAGCGUUGUUCGGAGUUAUUGGGCGUAAAGGGCGUACAGGCGGUGGUGUCAGUCAGAUGUGAAAUCCCCCGGCUCAACCGGGGACCUGCAUUUGAUACUGCAUCACUUGAGUACAGGAGAGGAGAGCGGAAUUUUCGGUGUAGCGGUGGAAUGUGUAGAUAUCGAAAAGAACACCAGUGGCGAAGGCGGCUCUCUGGCCUGAUACUGACGCUGACGCGCGAAAGCCAGGGGAGCAAACAGGAUUAGAUACCC
rnacentral:rRNA from 2 species